rnacentral:lncRNA from 1 species
ACCACUACUAGCUGGGGUGACCAGCUUUUAUUCCCUUAUUUGGCCCUGCUCAUGUCCUGCUGAUUGGUCCAUUUUACAGAGCGCUGAUUUUCCAUUUUACAGAGUGCUGAUUGGUUCGUUUUACAAAGUGCUGAUUGGUUCGUUUUUACCCAGUGCUGAUUGGUGCGUUUACAAACCUUUAGCUAGACACAGAGUGCUGAUUGGUGCAUUUACAAUCCUUUAGCUAGACAAAAAAGUUCUCCAAGUCCCCACCCAACCCAGAAGCCCAGCGGUCUUCACCUCUCAAUAGUAGCUAAUGGUUAAUACUUACAAGAACCCUAUCAGUAAAUUAAGGCCCAGAGAAUUUAACUGAUUUUCUGAAGAUCACACAGCUAGAAAGUGGAAGUUGGGCAAGAUGGCUCACGCCUGUAAUCCCAGUUUACUUGGAGGCUGAGGUGGCAGGGUUGCUUAAGGCCAGGAGUUUCGCACCAACCUGGACAACAUAGCAAGACCCUGUCUCUAAAAAGAAAAAGGGGAUGGGCGCGGUGGCUCACACCUGUAAUCCCAGAACUUUGGGAGGCUGAGGCGGGUGGAUCAUGAGGUCAGGAGAUCGACACCAUCCUGGCUAACACAGUGAAACCCCAUCUCUACUAAAAAAAAAUACAAGAAAUUAACUGGGCAUGGUGGCAGGCACCUGUAGUCCCAGCUGCUCCAGAGGCUGAGGCAGGAGAAUGGCGUGAACCCCAGAGGUGGAGCUUGUGAGAGGUGACAGCGUGCUGGCAGCCCUCACAGCACUUCCUCUGCCUGGGCUCCCACUUUGGCGGCACUUGAGAAGCCCUUCAGCCCACCGCUGCACUGUGGGAGCCCCUUUCUGGGCUGGCCAAGGCCGGAGCCGUCUCCCUCAGCUUGCAGGGAGGUGUGGAGGGAGAGGCGCAAGUGGGAACUGAGGCUGCGUUCCGCACUUGCGGGCCAGCUGGAGUUCCAGGUGGGCAUGGGCUUGGUGGGCCCCACACUCGGAGCCGCCAGCUGGCCCUGCCAGCCCCGGGCAAUGAGGGGCUUAGCACCUGGGCCAGCGGCUGCGGAGGGUGUGCUGGGUCCCCCAGCAGUGCCGGCCCACUGGCGCUGUGCUCAAUUUCUCGCUGGGCCUUAGCUGCCUUCCCACGGGAAAGGGCUUAGGACCUGCAGCCCUCCAUGCCUGAGCCUCCCCCCGCCUCCGUGGGCUCCUGUGCAGCCUGAGCUUCCCUGACGAGCGCCGCCCCCUGCUCCACGGAGCCCAGUCCCAUUGACCACCCAAGGGCUGAGGAGUGUGGGCUCACGGUGCGGGACUGGCAGGCAGCUCCACCUGCAGCCCCAGUGCACGAUCCACUGGGUGAAGCCAGCUGGGCUCCUGAGUCUAGUGGGAACUUGGAGAACCUUUAUGUCUAGCUAGGGGAUUGUAAAUACACCAAUCGGCACUCUGUAUCUAGCUCAAGGUUUGUAAACACACCAAUCAGCACCCUGUGUCUAGCUCAGGGUUUGUGAAUGCACCAAUCAACACUCUGUAUCUAGCUACUCUGGUGGGGACUUGGAGAACCUUUGUGUCAACACUCUGUAUCUAACUAUUCUGGUGGGGACGUGGAGAACUUUUGUGUCUAGCUGAGGAAUUGUAAACGCACCAAUCAGUGCCCUGUCAAAACAGACCCCUGGGCUCUACCAAUCAGCAGGAUGUGAGUGGGGCCAGAUAAGAGAAUAAAAGCAGGCUGCCCUAGCCAGCAGUGGCAACCCGCUGGGGUCCCCCUUCCACACUGUGGAAACUUUGUUCUUUCGUUCUUUGCAAUAAAUCUUACUGCUGCUCACUCUUUGCGUCCACACUGCCUUUAUGAGCUCUAACACUCACCACCAAGGUCUGUAGCUUCACUCCUGAAGCCAGCGAGACCAUGAACUCACCGGGAAAAACGAACAACUCCAGACACGCCGCCUUAAGAGCUGUAACACUCACCACGAAGGUCCGCAGCUUCAGUCCUAAGCCAGCGAGACCAUGAACCCACCAGAAGGAAGAAACUCCGAACACAUCCGAACAUCAGAAGGAACGAACUCUGGACAUGCCACCUUUAAGAGCUGUAAUGCUCCCGUGAGGGUCCACGGCUUCAUUCUUGAAGUCAGUGAGACCAAGAAUCCACCAAUUCUGGACACACUUGCAGUGAGCCGAGAUUGGGCCACUGCACUCCAGCCUGGGCGACUGAGCAAGACUCCUCAGAAAAAAAAAAAAAAAAGGAAAAGAAAAAGGGAGAGGGUUCAUACCUUUGAAAUCUGAUUCUCAAGCCUGGGCUCUGAACAACUAUGCUUUAACUGUCUCUCACAUGAUGUUGAAGAAGAUUUAGAAAAGAAACUCAUAUAUUGAUGAAUGUAUAAACUGGUAUGACCUUUUCAUGGCAAUCAGUGCAAAAAUACUUAAAAGAUCCCUUCUCUUUGACUCAGCUCCACGUCUAGGAAUUUCUUUUAAGUAAACCUUAAUGAAUGUGUGUAAAUAUUUGGCUACAAGGAUGCUUAUCAUAUCAUUUUAAUAGAGAAAAAAUUAGAAACAAGUGAGCAAUAUGAAUUUGGUUUAACCAGUUUAAUUGUGAUGUCAUAAAUGAAAUCAGUGUAGACAUCUAAAGUUAUAUAGCAGAAGAAUAUAUGAUGAGCAUUUUUCCAUCACACUGAUGAAAAAAGCAGGUUAGAGAACAGUAUAAAUAUAUUUUUUACCAAGAUAUUAACAUUUUUUAAAAAGACUACUGAAACAAUACACCAGUAGCUGGGUGCAGUGGUUCAUGCUUGUAGUUCCAGCUGUUAGGAGGGAGUCCUAGGCAGGAGAUUGCUUGAGCCCAGGAGGAGUUCGAUACCAGCUUGGGCAACAGAGCAAGAUCUCAUCUCUAAAAAAAAAAAAAAAAAAACAAAAAACAGAAAAGAUAAGACAUGAAAAUUAAAAAACACACAUCUAACUAUUUCAA